rnacentral:lncRNA from 1 species
CGGUGUUGCUCACAUCUCUACUCUCCACUUUGCUUUCCUUUUUUUUUUUUUUUUCCUUAUGCUUUUUGGCAUGAUGAUUUAAUAUCCUACCUCUUCUUUUCUUCGUCGGAUUUAAGCCAUUGCUAAGAGAUUGGUUUGUCUUGGAGCUCUAUGGGUUCACCCAUGUUUUGGCCAGCCUUUAGCUUGAAUUGAUUUCGACAGACUUUGUUUGUUGUUUAUAUGUUUGAUGAAGCUCUUCUGCUUUUAUGGUGUUGUGAUGUUGGCGCCAAUUAGGGUUUUGCUACCGAUUAUGGUGUCAUCAUACCAAAUCUUACUUUUAGUGGUUGUUGUUGUCGAUACCUCGACUUCCUCCUCAAUUGGUAUUGUAGUCAAUUUUGUGGUGACUUCGAAGGUGUGCAUGCCGUUGCGGCAACCUCUCGCUAUGUUGCCUAAUGAUUGAGUUUUGUUGUAUUUUUUUGGACCUUAGGCUCAUUAUAUUGUAAUUCGCAUUUUUAAUGAAUUAAUUACUUAUCAUUUGAAGA